rnacentral:rRNA from 1 species
UACGUAGGCAGCAAGCGUUGUUCGGAAUUACUGGGCGUAAAGAGUGUGUAGGCGGUGCUCCAAGUCUGGUGUGAAAUCUCCCGGCUUAACUGGGAGGGUGCAUUAGAAACUGGAAUGCUAGAGGAUGGGAGAGGUAAGCGGAAUUCCUGGUGUAGCGGUGAAAUGCGUAGAUAUCAGGAGGAACACUUGUGGUGUAGACAGCUUACUGGACCAUUUCUGACGCUGAGACACGAAAGCGUGGGUAGCAAACAGG